rnacentral:rRNA from 1 species
GCCUUGGGCCAUCCACCUUGGAGGUGCCCGAUCUCCUCUGAUCUCAAAAGCUAAGUGGGAGGGACCUGGUUAGCACUUGGAUGGGAAAUUUUAAAAUAGAUGGAGUUACCCGCC